CCCCAUAUUCCUGGAGAAGCUGUACUAAAUUUUUUGCUAGAUUUCCAAAUUAGCUUAGCCUAAGUUAAUUUGAAAGCCCGGCAAAUUUUACAUGCGGCUUCUCCAGGAAGCUGGGGGGAGAGUAGCUUCUCAGAGAAGCCCAUCCUGAAAGCCGAAAAGAAUUGUGCCUAAGUAUCACAGUUUUGAACUAUCCUUGAACUAGGCUUACAGUUCAAAACUGAGAGACUUUUUUGGACCGGACCCAGUAAGAGCUAAAACUGAGAGCGAAAAAUGAAAAGUUUAGAAAUUAUAAUCUCCAAAAAAAAGAAAAACGUAAAAUUAAGGGUUGAAUAAAAAGCAGGAAAAGGAAACACUCAUUCCGAUAGCCCCAAAACAUUAUGCAUUCGUCCGUCAAAAGCCCUCUGGGCGGAACUCCAAGUCGCAGAUAUUACGUUUCUGUUAGUUAAAAUUGUAUGCAGUACCCUCUGUAAAUAUGGAGGUGGGACAUUGUUGUCAUUGCCUUCCUGACUUGAAAUACCUGCUCUCGUGUAGUUCUUUCCAUCGAUCAACAGGUGAAGAUCAAAUAGUAUGAAGGGGAGCAGCAGCAACAUGGCUACAUGGGUACAUAGGUACGUACGUGAUCACUGUUCAUGUUCAUCAGGUCGAUCGGCAUAUUUUGCACAUCUUGUUCGCUGGUCGGUGAUGCUUCUCCUGACAAUGACAAAACAAAACAAGAAAAAUUCAUGUGAGAUAUAAAGCUUAUCGAGUGAGACAAUAUUUCAAGUACUGUAAUAAGCCAUAGUAGC
rnacentral:lncRNA from 1 species